rnacentral:rRNA from 1 species
GACGAACGCUGGCGGCGUGCUUAACACAUGCAAGUCGAACGGAAAGGCCCUGCUUUUGUGGGGUGCUCGAGUGGCGAACGGGUGAGUAACACGUGAGUAACCUGCCCUUGACUUUGGGAUAACUUCAGGAAACUGGGGCUAAUACCGGAUAGGAGCUCCUGCUGCAUGGUGGGGGUUGGAAAGUUUCGGCGGUUGGGGAUGGACUCGCGGCUUAUCAGCUUGUUGGUGGGGUAGUGGCUUACCAAGGCUUUGACGGGUAGCCGGCCUGAGAGGGUGACCGGCCACAUUGGGACUGAGAUACGGCCCAGACUCCUACGGGAGGCAGCAGUGGGGAAUAUUGCACAAUGGGCAGAAGCCUGAUGCAGCAACGCCGCGUGCGGGAUGACGGCCUUCGGGUUGUAAACCGCUUUCGCCUGUGACGAAGCGUGAGUGACGGUAAUGGGUAGAGAAGCACCGGCUAACUACGUG